AUGAAGACUGAAGAAAGCAAUUCAUUAUUGCUGGAAGUUGCAAUUACCCCUGUGCAAGGCACCCUGACAGACUGCUGUGCAAAAGUGUUCCAGUGCAGGGCACUGACAGCCUUUGUUCACAGCUGGAAGCUUUUUACCUUGCCUGAUAUGGAUGAUGACUCUAGUAAUGGUGUUUUUUGGCCACCCAGCAGAGCACUGAAAAUGCCACAGUCACUGUCUGUGAGGAACACAGCUGAGACAGACUGGACAACACUCAAACUUUGUCUUAAACAGGCUCCUGGACAAAAAUUAUUCUGCUAAAGCAGUCAUGAGUAAUUUUUAAUACUAAAUAUUUUCAUGACUUGAACUUCUCGCAACAAGAAAAUACAAAUGUGCCACUUUUAAAAUACACUCUUUGGAAAUAAUUUUCAAUUAAGCGAACUUGUCAAAAAUAGCCUACCAAAAUAAUUAUGAAAAGCACUUUUAUUAAGGAAAUGAUAUUCACUGCUCCAGUAUCAGAUAGUCUCAAAAACACAUUGUAAAAAAAGGAUCCCAUGUCAAAAUCUUCAGGAUGCUUCCAAUACCACUGGAAUUGUGUGAGUUUAAUUCAGUGCUGUUCUAUUAUCAUAAUCAAAGUAUUUUUGACAAGUGAAAUAAAAUAGUUAAAUAUUUUAUCCAAAGCAUUUUGAUAAAUAGGUAAAUUCUUUAUCCAAAGCAUUUUCAUGCAUUUUUGUUUGCUCAUAGGAUGCCUCUGUUUAAAUUUCUCCUUUAUUUGGUCUUUAAAAGCUUUUUAUGUUCAGGAGAGGAUGGACACUGGGAGCAUGUGCUAUCAAUCACCGUUAUACUGAGUGUGAGAACUGGAAAAAAAUACUCUUCAAAUCAACAGAGUAAUCUGGACAAAUCAGUCUUUUGCUUUCAUUUUUAAAAUUAAAAUAGGAAUACCAGGU
rnacentral:lncRNA from 13 species